rnacentral:ncRNA from 2 species
ACCAUCACAAAGGGGUGCUGUAAAGCUGAGAUUGAAUCUUUGAUUCUAACCCUUCGAACCUGUUCGUUAGUACGAGCGUAGGGAUUGUGACGGGGCAACUG